rnacentral:rRNA from 1 species
UACGUAGGGGGCAAGCGUUGUCCGGAUUUAUUGGGCGUAAAGAGCGUGUAGGCGGCCGUACAGGUCAGCUGUGAAAACUCGAGGCUCAACCUCGAGACGUCGGUUGAAACCGUACGGCUAGAGUCCGGAAGAGGAGAGUGGAAUUCCCGGUGUAGCGGUGAAAUGCGCAGAUAUCGGGAGGAACACCGGUGGCGAAGGCGGCUUCCUGGACCGACACUGACGCUGAGGCGCGAAAGCUAGGGGAGCAAACGGG